ACGAGUUAAAUCAAUAAAUAUACAUAAAUUCGCGUAAAGCUUAAACGACCGUCUCAUCUUCUUCUUCCUUUUCCUUUUCGAUUGGCUUUCCCAAUCAUUUCCCUUGAUCCCUGUAAAGCGAUUUGUUAUUUUCCUCUUUUCGCUCGCAUCCCAAAUCUUUUCUUCUCUAUCUCUGAUUUAUCGUAAACUUCUUUUGUAAGACAAACGAAUACGAAGUCAAUUUGGGGCUUUUUAGGUGGAGCAAAUUGAGAGAUUGCAAACUGUGGAGUUUGGGGAUCGAUCAAUUUUUGUUACUGAUGACGACGACGUUAAGGUACCAUCUCCGGCAGAACUACCAAGAGGACAGAGCGGUGGCUGCUCGGAGGAACAAACUACAGCAACGAAGCACAAUAAAAUGUAUUUCCAAGUGAAGCAUAACUUGGAAAAGCCAAGGUAAUAUCCCUGAACAAAAUAGAGAAAGUAAAAUCUUAUUUGGUGUAUUAUUUAUGAUUUGGGAGUUAUUGGAGAGGCCGACUCAGCUGUUAACUGAAGUCAGAAGUCGAGGUACAAAUCUGCAAAAGAUCAUACAUAUUACACAUGGUGAUUUUAAUUUUUAAGUGUACUCAGUUGUUUUCUUAAUUUUUACAUGAACUGUUCCAUUUACAGUCAAUAAAAUCAUCUUGUCUUCUAUAUCAGAUCAAACCCCUAAUUUUAAAAAUCCCACAAUGGUUCUCAAGAAGGUUUUACCCAACGCUCAGGGUGAGGGUGUUGGUGCUGUUGUUAAGAGAAGCAUUAGAAGGUAUAAAAUUGACAAAUUAUUGUUUUUUUUCAUAACUUUUUUUCUCUUAAAUGUGAAAAUUUCUUAUGGGUUUAUUGGGGAUUUUAGAAAUUUGAGGUGGAGAUGGAAUUGGGAUGUUUGAUUGUAGUGUUCUAGACAAUUUUGAAAAUCAUAGAGCUAUAGUUCAUAGACUCCUUAAUUUUGAAAAUCCCAGAAUGGUUUUUAUGAAGGUUUUAGCCAAGGCUCAGGCCUCAAGAGGGUGCUGGUGCUGUUGUUAGUAGAAGCAUUGGAAG
rnacentral:lncRNA from 1 species